ensembl:lncRNA
CACAUACUGCUUUGACACCUUGCAGCAUUGAUAAUGCCGUUUAUAGUCUAUAAAGCUAAUAAACAGUUUCUGAUCCGUCCUUUUAGUCCUGGCAUUAACGUACAGGGAAAUAGUGAAGGCAAAACAAGAACACAAAGGAGCCACAGUAAAAAUAUUGUAUCAUUUGGAUUCGAUCACGAUCAGUCUUGCCAAAUCCCCGCAGAUUCACAUUGUCCCGCAUAGCAAGAAUAAAGGAAAAUACAGAGGUGAGGCCUGGGAAUCUUGACCUGAAUGCCUUACUCGUGGAGCAGAAUUUAUAAGCUAUCACUGUGCCACGCGGCAGAACACUUUUCUAUGAAGAUAUGCAGUGGGAAGGAGAGUGCAAGAAAGCCCAGACUGAGGGAGACAGAGAUGAGGGAAGAAGACUUAUCACGGGAUGUUUAAGAUUGGAACAAAUGGAGAAGACCUGAAUACAACAGAGAGGCAGAAAGGUACUGCAUUGUUUGGCAGGCAAAUUUUAAAAUAGUAAAGAUAUACUUUAUGUACUGCAAGUGAAUCCCUGUCCUUCUGUGGUUUUUCCUUAUUAUGCUAAAUUGUAUUUUUCAGAUUGUAUACUUUGAAAAUUUAAGUUCUUAAAUAUAUAUAAACUCCUUAAGGUAUAAUAAGAACUAACUGAACUGUGGGGGCAUUUUGAAUAGUUGAAAAGUAUUCUUUUACCUUGCUAGUCAAUGGCAUUCUUGAAGAUUUCCAUGUUGAAUAAGCAUAUCAGAUGGACACUAGUGAACGAUGGCCAUUGAUGUAUACUGUGGAAGCCGUCCAGUACCAAGCUAAUGAGGCACAAUCAGGACUCUCAUCCCGACUCAAAAUGAAUGAACCCAGUUAGAAAUAUGCUCUGAUUUCUAAGGAUGUCAAAGUCUUGACAGUUUUCGACACUACCACAUGAAGACUUACACUCAUUCAUGAUAAUUCCAUCCAGGUAAAGAGUCCAUUCUGAAGGAGAUCAGCCCUGGGAUUUCUUUGGAAGGAAUGAUGCUAAAGCUGAAGCUCCAGUACUUUG